UCACGCAAAGGACAUAAAAGCGGACUAAACUAUGUGGUCUGACCUUAUUCUUCAUUCUUCAAACAAUAUGGAGACAAAUUACCAGCUAUGUCCACGGCACACCACUAGCCGUCAACAACGAGCCUUGCAGCUCAUGAAACCCGAGUCUCGGAUUGAUUUGAGGACCAACAUCUGUAAUCGAAACCUCGUCAUCCACUGCGGCAGCGAUCAACCACAACGCAACUUCGAGCGGAAUUCUUCAUCUCCUCACCAGAAGAAAACAGCAGAGCAGGUAUAGGACGCCGGAGUUAGCUACACUAUCCUGCUAAGCCAAUUUCAAUCAACAAUUCACCGGUUUCGAAAUCCAGCUAUGUCCGUUGCACCCCAGGAGUAACCAACCAAAGACAUACGUCAUCAAAACACGUUUACGGAUCGAGUUGAGGACCAACAACAUUAUACGAAACCUCGCCAUCCCAAAUCGGACGACUCAAUUUGAACUUCCAAUACGGACAACAACCAAAUAAAAUUCCAACUCCAAGAAAACUCUCACUCACUAACAAAGACUCCUCGCAGUAACAUGUCCUGAAUCACAUUCAAAGAUUCACCGCCCAUUUAACGCAAUAGAAAUCCGCAAAUUCAAGCAAGCAUAAAAAAGUUCAAAAAAUAAGUGCCUCAUGAUAAUAUGAUUACUCGCUAAAUUGUUUAAUUGUUUGUUAAUGUUAAACUUAAAUAGAGGCAAAUAAUAGAUAUAGGCUUUAGACGUAAGAUGAUUUUCUCUGUAGUCGACACUAUAGAUUGAUAAUUAGCCUUGCAAAAACUCUGUCACUUGUAAGUAGUGAAGGCAAGCCGAUGUACUUGAGUAGCCUUAAGUUUCUUUUUGUGUAUCACUACAAUAACUGGCUUUGGAAUCCAAUUUUGGAAAAAUCUGCCGAAGCAAUAGAAGUUAAGAUUAGCCAGUAACCUCUAUUAGUCCUCAAACGUAAUCAUAGCUUACGAAAUUUUCGAGAACGCUUUUCUCGAAAAUUUCGUUUCGGUAAUUUAGAUGUUGUGUUACAAAUUGUUUGAAACGAAAUAUAAUAAAAUCACUGCAGCACGCAACACUGCCACAUCAUCAUGAAAAUCAUUAAGAUUGUUGCCGUCAGAGCAACUCUACACAUGCCAAAACUGCACGAAAACUCUCGCACUCUCAUGCUCUCGAAAAAGAGAAUCGAACAUUUACGACAACUAAGCUCACGAACUUGUACGUUGCUGAUCAUUCGUUUUCUGCUGGCUUAAAAAGUGGACGUACGGGAGGUGCAUGACUAGCGAAGCUAGUGCACAGAUUGAGUGUGGAAAAAUCAAAUCUCGGCUCAAAGAAAAAUCAUCAGGUAAUUCGUCACGACGUAGUCCAGAAUCGGACGUAGUGCUAAAAUCACCAUUUAUGCUAGCAGGUGUCCAACGACUCCGAUUCGACCAUCAAUCGGAAAGACACGCUCAACCCGCAUGGAAAACGGUGAAACGACGCUCACCAGUAUUCCAAAAGAACCCGUCCACACGCACUCGUUGUAGUGCUAGCCAACACUUCGAUUUGCAACCGAACGACGUUCAUCUAAGCCAGCAGAAACAAUUGCCGAAAUAACUUGGACAGAUCGGCA